CCUAGAUAGAUGGAAUGUGAGUGUUCACACAGAUUGUCUGAUGAAAUAGCGCGUCAAGCCAAUCUAAGAUUGACUAAAGAGCUUGAAGUCCCCUUCGUCUAGAGGCCUAGGACAUCGCCCUUUCACGGCGGUAACAGGGGUUCGAAUCCCCUAGGGGACGCCACUUUAGUGAUUUAGAAAGGCGGUGCAUCACGCUUUUAGUGUUGUGCACUGUUUGUGCUUUACGUAAUAAUGAUUAAACCAAUUUAGUGAGUUGGUUUACCAAUAAUGCUCUUUAACAAUCUGGAACAAGCUGAAAAUUGAAACACACAUGAAACACACAUUAUUGAAAAAAUAAUGUGGAGAACUCUCAAACUCCAAUUUGAAGUGUUAUUCAAAUAGGCAGACGAGUGGCAUGAGCGAGCAGGGUGAAAUUUGCGGCGUAGGCGCGCAGUCAGCGCAGCGUACAUAAGUACGUGAGCAUGACGAGCGCCGCACAACAAAAAAUUUCGCACGGCGCAGCCAUGACGCUUCUGUAUUAUUUGAUAAGAGACACCUUCGGGUUGUGA
rnacentral:misc_RNA from 1 species